rnacentral:tRNA from 1 species
AAUAGGAUGGCUGAGAUUUAAGCGAAAGAUUGUAGCUCUUUUAACGGAAUUAACUUUCCUCCUAUUA